AAAGCAAGCCGUUCUAUCGCCUUACACUAACACUGUGGGGAGGAAAGUCCGGGCAACAAAGAGUGCCAUACUUCCUAACAGGAAGCCGUUACAAGAAAUUGUGAUGCGAGAUAGUGCCACAGAAAAAUACCACCUUAGCGAAAGCAAAGGAAAGGGUGAAAACGCGAGGUAAGAGCUCACGACGCAAAUAGGUAACUAUAUGCGGGGGUAAACCUUAUGGGUUGAAAGACCAAAUAUACUGGAGAAUGAGGGCUACUCGUCCAAUUCCAGGGGGUAGGUUGCUAGAGGCAAGGUGCGAAUCUUGUCCCAGAUAAAUGAUAGAAGUCUCGAUUUUAAUCGAGAUACAGAACCCGGCUUAUAGGUUUGCUUUUUUU
rnacentral:RNase_P_RNA from 2 species